rnacentral:lncRNA from 1 species
AUGGGGCCUCUGAGACCGUCCCGAGUGUUUAUUUCACACGAUACUGUGCCCCCCAGCUAUGCAACUGCACAGCCGGACAGGUGGCUUUUCACUACACUCUUAGGGUCUGUCUUUUCCAGCUCUAUUUCCGCUCUUUCUUUCCCUCUCUCUUUCUCUGGUUCCCCUGGGGCAGACAGGACUUUUCCUGUCUCCCUCUUCUCUUCUGUCCUCUUUGUCUCUCUGUCUCUUUGCCUCUUUUCUCUUUCCUUCCCCUUCCCUCCCUUUUCUAGUAAAACUUAUCACUUAAGCUCUGUCUGCCUGGCCUGUUUGUCCCCUGCCUCAGUCAUUCUCACCUGCCAUGGGAUCCACAAUGGGCCCCUAUGCAAGGUCCCCUCAAGCUUUAUCCUAACUCUAGGAAUUCUUGAGAACAAAGGAACCAACCCCUGCUGCCCUUUGGUAUAUCGGGGACUUCCACUCCACCACCCAGUUUCCAAAGCUUUAGACUCAAGAGGAUAUAUGGGGCACAGUGCCCUUCAGUCCAUCCCCCAGACUUUGAGCGUCAAGGAAAUCCAGGUGAACCUGAACUGGGAGCCGGUGCUGGCCAUCUUGCUGUCACCUGUGAGGUAGCUGGAGCCCAGGUCGAAUCAAUUGCAGGCCGCAUGAGACUCCAGAAUCAAGAUGGCAAACCUUUGGAUGUCAUCAGCGGACUCCAGUUCAGAUCCCCUUGGACAGACCUAGGUUACAGAAGAACCUGAACCCCAAGUGCGAACUGGGGUGACCCAAAGGGCUCCCUUCACUUCCUCCAGAGAGAGAGAGCACUGAGGUCGGCUUUCCCUAAGUAUGGGAGACACAAACUGUGAGUCCUUCCAGGUAAGAUGACAUCUGGCAGUGACAUAGUCUGACAAAGGACUUAGAAAAGAAAGUGUAAAAUAGCUCCUCAGUCUUCCCACAUUGGCACUCUCCCCAUGAGGGAUACUGGAACAUAGGUUUCUGUUUCAGUCGCCAUAAUCUGAGUGGCUUCCUCACAAAGAUUCUUUGGACUCUAGGUUUCUCAUGAGUCCUUUUAUAAUGAAGGCAGGAGAAAGGCUCUAGCUGAGUACAUUCCCACGUUGGCCACAUUUUUAAAUAUAAUUAUUUAACUCUACUUUCUGUGCAUUGGUGUACAGGUAUCAGAUCCCCUGGAACUGGAGUUUCAGUCAGUUGUAAGCUACCAUGUGGGUGCUGGGAAUUGAACCUGGGUCCUCUGGAAGAGCAGUAGCCCAUGCUCUUAACUGCUGAGCUGUAGUGGCAUCUUGCCUUGCCAGUGAACUUGUAGUGGUGGCCACACCCUUUGGGCGUGUUUUCAGGUGCAGAUUUCAGGUGACCCAUUAGGUUUCGGAGAUAUAGGACGCACAGAGACGACAUCUUCCAGAGCAGGAAGGCCAUGGGGAUUAUUUACUCUUUAUCUAUGUAAGUGCUUUCCUAAUAAAUACAUAUUUAUCAUCUACCUUGGGUCUGGUGGACUCAUUUAAACCCCGCCCUCACUGAGCCGUCUCUCCAGCCCUGGCCACAUUUUUAAAGACCUCUUUCCAGUGUGACAUUUCUGGUGCUGAGAGAAACUGCAGCUUUGAUCAAAGGUGUUCCUAAAUCCAGUGCACUUGGAAAGCUCUAGCAUGUCCUUCCUGGUGCUUGGACAGGUUAGCGCUAUAGCGGAAUGCUUUUCCACAUUUGCUGCAAUGUGUAGGCUUUUCUCCAGUAUAGAUUCUCGGGUGCUGACUGAGGAUGGGGCUUUCACCAAAGACUUUCCCACACCAGCCACACUCAAGGCCCUUUUCCAAAUAUGAACUUUCCAGUGCUUAGCAAAAUUAGAGCUAUAGCUGAAGGCUUUCCUGCAUUCACUGCCUUUGUAAGGCUCGCUCUCCUGUGAACCUUCUGGUGCUGAAUGACGGCAGAGCUUUGGCUGAAGGCUUUUCUACGUUCUGAGGCUUCAUAAGGGCUCCCCCCCCCCCCCCGCAUGAAUUCGCCGGUGUGGAGCAAGGUUAGAGAGAGGACUGAAGGCUUUCCCACCCUGGUUGAGGUUAUCGGGUCUUUCUGCAGUGCGGCUCCUUUGAUGCAGAACAAGCUUGGGGGUUUGUGGAAAGGCUUUCCCACAGUCACUGCACUCUGGAGGCCUUUCUGUGUUGGGAACUUUCUGGUCACCAACAAGGCAGGAGCUCUAUAUGGGGCUUUCCUACACUCGUUGCAUUGUAAGGCCUUUCUCCAUUGUGUAUAUCCUGGUGCUCAACAAAAUUGGAACCAAAGACUCUUCCUGCACCAGUUGUAUUCAGAAGGCCUUUCUGUGUUGUGAACGUUCUGAGGCCAAACAACAUGGAAGCUUCAAGCAAAGGCUUCCUCAGCACUGGCCACGCUCAUACGGCCUUCCUCUACUGCGAACUCUCUGGCGCCGAACCGCUGAGGGUUUUCAGGUGGAAGCUUUUCCACAUUGACUACAGGUAGGAUGUGACAUUUCCCUAUGAUCUUCCUGAUGUGACCUUAGUUUGAAAAGUGGCUGAAGAUCUUCCAUUUGUCACACACACAUGAAAUGUUUUCCAUGUGAUAUUUGUUGUCAUUAACAUGAUUUGAGUUCUCGGUGAGCCCAUUCCCACUUGUUGGACAUCUCAAGUGUCUUUCUUCACAAUGUGUUGUCAGGGAAGCAAAGGCCUUUUGCAAGCAUGUUCCACAGAUGCUGCAUUGGAAAGGCUUCUGUGUAUUACAACUUCCUGCUGUUCCUUGUGGCUAGACCAAGGGAAGGCAGUACUGUGCUCAGUGUUCUCUUUGCUGGGGAUCAGAGCCUUCGAAGAUCUUUCUCUCUCUCUCUCUCUCUCUCUCUCUCUCUCUCUCUCUCUCCUUUCUUUCAUGGUUUUCCAAAACAGGGUUUCUCUGUGUAACAGCCCUGGCUCUCCUGGAACUCUGUGUAGACCAGGCUGGCCUCAAACUCACAAAGAUCUACCUGCCUCUCCCUCCCAGCAAAGAUACCUUUGUCUUCUUUUUUUUUUUUUUUUUUUUGCUUUUUUUAGAUUUAUUUAUUUGUCUUCAUGUAAGCCUGCAGGCCAGAAGAGGGCACCAGAUCUCAUUACGGAUGCUUGUGAGUUGCUGAGGAUUGAAUUCAGGACUCUGGAAGAGCAGCCAGUGAUCUUAACUGCUGAGCCCUGACUGUCCUGGAACUCUCUCUGUAGACCAGGCUGGCUUUGAACUCAGAGAUCCACCUGUCCCUGCCUCCCAAGUGUGUUGUGUUCCCCUAUGUUCUUCAAAAAGUUUUCAAGACUGUGCCACACACACCUCUAGUAUAGACCUUCCAGCCUGUCUUAUAGGUCCCAAACUGGAACACUACAAACACAACCUGCCGAGGAAAGCCUUUCUCCAGUCCAUGCCAGCACCCUAAGGAAUAUAUGCACCAGGAAAGUAUCUGUGGGGGCUUUGUUGGAACCGGACAGUCUAUUUUUUUGCUUUUGUUUUUGUUUUUUUUUUGCCCCCCCCCCCCCACACACACAGGGUUUCUCUGUGUAGCUUUGGAGCCUAUCCUGGCACUUGAUCUGGAGACCAGGCUGGCCUCAAACUCACAGAGAUCUGCUUGCCUCUGCCUCCUGAGUGCUGGGAUUAAAGGCGUGCGACACCAAUGCCCGGCCAGGCAGUCUAGUUUUGUGAGUUCAUUUUGUUUGAGAUAGUUUCCUGUUUGUCCUCCGGCAUGUCUUCAUCUAGCCGUGAUUCUCCUCCUUCUAGCUCCAAAGAUAGAUUACAGGUGUGUGUCAUCACCAAGCUUGUGUGCAGCCUCUUUACAAGCGCAGAUCCAGCCAGGUGUGGUGGCUCAUGCCUUUAAUCUCAGCGCUCAGGAGACAGAGGCAGGUGGAUCUCUGUGUGUUCAAGGCCAGCCUGGCGGUCUACAGAGCAAGUUCUAGGACAGCCAGAAUUGUUACACACACAGGGAAACUCUGUCUACAAAAAACAAAAUAAAUAGAAGAGUUGCCUAACACUAUUUAAAAAUUGGUGCUACUCCUGUUGGGGGGGGGGGUAGGGCUUUCAAGGGUGGAGAUUUCCACUGUUGGGAUUGGUGGAAUUUCAAGUCCUGAACUUGGGCUUUUCCCUCUAUAGGAGUGGGGCUGGGGCUGGUUGUUAGGGCAGUCAGAGUGUUCUGUGUGUGGAACCCAGCCAUUGGAGGUCUUCAGGGGGCCUGGCCACUCCAAGCCUUGAGGGACUUAUACCUUCCCCUGAAAUUGCUCUU